AGAGCUGGCUGGGUCAGGAUUCUAAGACAGUUAGGCAGCUGGGAAACUGUCUUUCUGAAGCUGGGAUUCAGACAGAGAGGCUGUGUGUCAGAGUCUCCCUCAAGCAAUUACCUCUGAAGCUGUCUGACUUGGAUAAUCCUCAAGAAAAAAGGUUGAGGCUCUGACCAACAUAUCUGUACCUGCUAGGAGUCUUUCCAUUUAAUUUGCUGUCUGUUCAGUUGACAAAAUAGACACCGAGGCAGGAUGGUAUUAUCCUACUGAAAAAUAGUCCAGGUGUGAUCCUAAGCCUAGAUCAUAGUAUUUCUAUGCCUUUUGCAGCCUUCCUCUUUAGUCCUUCCUCUCCCCAAAAGGAGCAAGUUUAUUCCCUGGGAAGUGUGGUGACCAGCAAGUCAAAGAUCAAAGCAAUGCUUGAAUACCACCAACAAAGGCAUGGUGUGAGGAGGAGAAGAAAAACAGAACAGAUUGAGAUCUAUAUCCUUAGGAAGAAUGUCCACACUGAUGAAAUAACGAAUCCUUCAUGUGCCACCAAGGUACACAUUAAGAACAUAUUUUGUUUUAAUGGACUGCCUAAAAGUAAGAGGUAUCAUGAAGUCAGAUGAAAAUAAUCAACCCGAACUACUUUCAGCUCAAAGAUCAAAGACUUGGAUCACUGAACUGGAAGAGGUGAUGAAUGGUUAUUCAUCCUUUUGACCUCCUAAAGUUCUGGAAUGCUGAUUAAAACAUCUUUAUUUACAAAAAA